AUUGAACGCUGGCGGCAUGCCUUACACAUGCAAGUCGAACGGUAACAGGUCUUCGGAUGCUGACGAGUGGCGAACGGGUGAGUAAUACAUCGGAACGUGCCUAGUAGUGGGGGAUAACUACUCGAAAGAGUGGCUAAUACCGCAUGAGAUCUACGGAUGAAAGCAGGGGAUCGCAAGACCUUGUGCUACUAGAGCGGCCGAUGGCAGGUUAGGUAGUUGGGGGGAUAAAAGCUUACCAAGCCGACGAUCUGUAGCUGGUCUGAGAGGACGAUCAGCCACACUGGGACUGAGACACGGCCCAGACUCCUACGGGAGGCAGCAGUGGGGAAUAUUGGACAAUGGGCGCAAGCCUGAUCCAGCGAUGCCACGUGUGCGAAGAAGGCCUUAGGGUUGUAAAGCACUUUAGUGAGGGAGGAAAGUGAGAUGGUUAAUACCCAUUUUAAUUGACAGUACCUCAAGAAUAAGCACCGGCAAACUCUGUGCCAGCCGCCGCCGUAAGAC
rnacentral:rRNA from 1 species